GCUGGAGGCGUCGUAACCCAAUAUAUGCAAGGGCAGGAAGUACUUAUAACUUGCUAAGUCAUCUUUCCCUACACAGGUUUUAAAUGGCCCUGAAAGGGUUAAAGAGGUUAUAAGGUUCAAAAAGUCUAAAGACUAGAGACAAGAGCAGAGAUAAGGUUGCAGAGAGAGGCACUGCAGGUGAUUGGAUAUUUUUUUCAUAGUUAAGCCAUUUCCUCCUGUUGUGAUAUGACCACCACACGCUGUGAAAACCUUGGCCACCUGGCUUGGUGACCACGCCUUGAAUUGUAGUACUUACC
rnacentral:lncRNA from 1 species